ACGCCAGCAGAAACUGUUUACAAACGCUCGGCACCGCUCACUAUUGAACCUUAAUUGUGAAUGAAAAGAAAGUAGAAAGCGUUUAAGUGAUGCUGUUUUGGUUUUGUUUAUGGAUUUGGGUUUGAGCCAACAGUUUGAUGCAUGCAUGAGUUUGUUUGUUUACUUUCACAUAUCAUACACUCGCAACACACAUAUUUCAUUAGUUGCUCAUUCAAACACUCACCCACUACAAACUGACCAUCUUCAAGCAAAACGACAACAAAUGAAACCCAAGCUGGUGUCCUGGGUCUGCCUCAGUGCUGGAUGCAGGCAGGGGGCGUCUGGUGGCAGCAGUCUGAUGCGGGCGUGCAGCUGCUGGUAGACUUCCGAGCUUGAAAGAUGCUUCACAUGUUCAAAGAGGAGGUAGAGUUGAAGGAGACUGCACAGCGGCUGGCUUCCUUGCUGCAAGCAGUCCUGCCUGGGGCAUCACCUACAAACAAUUCGGAAAACCAAAACCAAAAUGACGGACAAGGAUUCCGGCAGCAGUCCUUCUCAACAGAGCAGAACAUGGCCAGAUCCUUCCCAGCACUCUUUAAAAAAAAAAAACUCUGGGAAAAGGAGACAAUCUUUUCCCCCAGAUGUAAAAAAAGGGCACAGUACAAAAUAUUUUUUGAUGCAGUUUUACCUGGUGAAUAAACAUAUUGAGAAGACUCCAAAAGCAGCAGAGGAACUGCAACUGUUACAGGCAGGGAUGGGACGGUGGACCAUUAUUGUAACAGAGGAUGCAGAUCAUUUAUGGGUAACGUGUAACAUGCUAUAGCAUUAACAUGUGUUCUCACACUCCCCUCCACCUCUCUCCCUCUUCUCAGUCCCUCUUCUUUGCUCUCUCUCUCUGUGUGAGCGUUCCCACCCUGGUCAUGUACCAUAGCCAUGCCAGCCAUAGAUUUAGAUAAACACUAUAACAGGAUUUUAACCAUGGACUUUAUAAAUAUUAAUCAGAUAUAAUGGAUACACACACAAAACAAGGCAUGUAUCUUAAAUCAUUAUUUAUAUAUAAAACAUGUCAUUGUUCCAUGUAUGCUACACUAGUAAGUUCUAGUGUCAUAGCUAAAUACAUAACAGUGAAAUAUAGUCUAUGUAUUUAUUAUAGAUAUAAACAUCAGUACCUUUAUAUAUCUACGUUCUCUGAACUAGGAGUUGUUUAGAGAUGAAUUUCAUACCACAUAAACACAAUACAGUGUAAUACAAAAUGUGACCCAAAUAAAUAAGAAGACAACAAACACCAUAAUCACAUCUUUCAGCCAGAACUGGUCCACCAGCAAUAACAUCCAACCAUAACAUUAUUUUAUAUUUUCACUUCUUCUUGAACAUUUGUUUUCUAAUUUAUGGAAUUUGUUUUGAUUCAGCCAUAAAAUUAAUGAAAUAAUCUUUGAAUUUUGUUUUUAAAAUGUUAAAAAUAGCCUUUUAAGAAUGUAUUCUGAAACAGUUUAAAAUAAUCAGAGAACUAACACUGACCCUACACAACUAUGUUGCACAAUUAAGUCGUUUUUUUUUAAAGCGAA